UGGGGAAUUUUGGACAAUGGGCGAAAGCCUGAUCCAGCCAUGCCGCGUGAGUGAAGAAGGCCUUCGGGUUGUAAAGCUCUUUUAGUCGGAAAGAAAGAGUUGCAAUGAAUAAUUGUGAUUUAUGACGGUACCGACAGAAAAAGCACCGGCUAACUACGUGCCAGCAGCCGCGGUAAUACGUAGGGUGCGAGCGUUAAUCGGAAUUACUGGGCGUAAAGGGUGCGCAGGCGGUCUUGCAAGUCAGAUGUGAAAGCCCCGGGCUUAACCUGGGAAUUGCGUUUGAAACUACAAGACUAGAGUGCAGCAGAGGGGAGUGGAAUUCCAUGUGUAGCAGUGAAAUGCGUAGAGAUGCGGAAGAACACCGAUGGCGAAGGCAGCUCCCUGGGUUGACACUGACGCUCAUGCACGAAAGCGUGGGGAGCAAACA
rnacentral:rRNA from 1 species